rnacentral:rRNA from 1 species
UACGUAGGGUGCGAGCGUUAAUCGGAAUUACUGGGCGUAAAGCGUGCGCAGGCGGGCUUUUAAGCCAGACGUGAAAUCCCCGGGCUUAACCUGGGAAUGGCGUUUGGGACUGGAAGUCUGGAGUGCGGCAGAGGAGACUGGAAUUCCGGGUGUAGCGGUGAAAUGCGUAGAUAUCCGGAGGAACACCGGUGGCGAAGGCGGCUUCCUGGACCGACACUGACGCUGAGGCGCGAAAGCUAGGGGAGCAAACAGG